CCUACGGGUGGCAGCAGUGAGGAAUAUUGGUCAAUGGACGAGAGUCUGAACCAGCCAAGUAGCGUGAAGGAUGACUGCCCUAUGGGUUGUAAACUUCUUUUAUAUGGGAAUAAAAUGUUCCACGUGUGGGAUUUUGUAUGUACCAUAUGAAUAAGGAUCGGCUAACUCCGUGCCAGCAGCCGCGGUAAUACGGAGGAUCCGAGCGUUAUCCGGAUUUAUUGGGGUUAAAGGGAGCGUAGGUGGAUGGUUAAGUCAGUUGUGAAAGUUUGCGGCUCAACCGUAAAACUGCAGUUGAAACUGGCAGUCUUGAGUACAGUAGAGGUGGGCGGAAUGCGUGGUGUAGCGGUGAAAUGCUUAGAUAGCACGAAGAACUCCGAUUGCGAAGGCAGUUCACUGGACUGCAACUGACACUGAGGCUCGAAAGUGUGGGUAUCAAACAGGAUUAGAUACCCGUGUAGUC
rnacentral:rRNA from 1 species